GGACAUAUGAAUCUUUAGCGCAUCUGGCACGUAAAUAUCUUGCGACAUGGGCUACAACAGUGCCAUGCGAACGCCUGUUCUCACUUUCAGGUGACAUUGCGAAUCAGAAGCAGGCAGCAUUAUCUACUGAAAAUCCCUGUAUCAUGACCUGCUGAAAUUUCAAUCCAACAUCGAGGUAUCAGAACAGAGAUGUGAAAAACCCCACAUCCAAAAUGGAGUCUGCAGCCUGACACAGACUCCUCUCCAUUGUGAAAAAUAAUGGGAUAAACAGCCAACCUAUCAGGCCGAAUUUAAAUCAUAAGAGGCUUAUUCACCAGAAUGGAAAACUCUGACAAGCAAUUUGUGUCAGCCUCAUUCAGCAUGUCAAUAGAAGACCUAUGCCUCACCAGAACUAAACACUGACAAACAGGCGGGAUCUGGAACCCCAGAUUUUAAGCUAAGAGGAGUUCCCUGAAGAUUUGAGGCUUGUGUCUUGAGCACAGCCAUUGCUAAUGCACAGGGAAUAGUGUCAGUGCAAUCCAGGGGUUAUUAUUCACAGCAUUGUAACACAGUGCAUUCUGUAACGAUUAACUAGUAGGUUUUAAAAGUGGGUCAGUGCACCCAGAAAAUUCACACCAAACUGCACUUCCUGAACACACAUAGGCAGACUUGUCAAAAUAUUCUCAUCAGCUGAGUAAAUUUUUGCUGGGAGCAAAAACAACAGCCUGGAAAACCCAAGUGCCCUGCAAGCUAUCAAUUAGCCUUUACAUUACAAUAAACUUGUGUCAAAGAGAAAUUACUUCCAUGUUGUGUAAAGAAAUAUUGCUCUGCUUGAACUUAGAGAAAGGUAUAGCUUAGAAAAAAUCUGUGGAGACAACUCCAAUCUCCUCUUUAGAAAGAGAAAUAUUCUUGGCUAUAUAAUCAGGAUAAUUGGCUCAUAUGAAAAAUUCAACAACAAACUAAGAUUUGCACUCCCCCACAAUGAAACAAACUGUGCCUCUGAACAAAAGGUACCUGCAGCGAGACUCUUCUGCUUUUUCUGCUUCAGAACUGGGCUCUUGUUCAGAACAAUGCUACAACAUAUGCUUAAUUUUAAAGCACACAAGUAAGUCCCAUUGAAGUCAAUGGGACUUGACUAUGGGUUCCCUUCCCAGCCCUCUCUGAUCCCCUUUUGGGGUUAGUAGCACUGACAGCUGCACUGGCUAGGAGCAAUCCUUGCACCUAAACUUGCUCAAGGACUGCAGGAGUGGCCAGCCUUUGUGAGGGGGUGCAAAUUGAUGGGAGGAGUCAGUCAGCCAGUAGACAGAUACUGGGCUUCAUGGACCUUUGGUCUGACCUGGUACAGCCAUUCUUAUGUUAUGUUCUUAUGAUGAGAUGAUGUGCACAACAAGUUUAUUGUCCUACAAAGUCCAGGAACAAAGCUGCAUGUUCUUGCACACUGGCACCUGAUCUAGUAACUAGCUCUGACCAUGUAUGCAGCUAUUAAUCACUGAUGUAGCAGGCAAAGAGAGUUUGCUAAAGCCAUCCAGACAACUACUUGCUGGGAAAGUUGGCUUUCCGUAGCUGUAGUGUGAAAACACCUAUAUGUGCCUGAUGCAUCUUUGUGCCCAGUAAGAGUUAUGUUUGUCCAAAAAGAUGGAUGGAAGUUUUGGCUCUAACCAUCAGUUCUGGGGUUUCCCCCACCAAAUACAAGGGGAGUUUACACACUUUUCAGGAAUGCCAGAGGUUUCAUUCACUUUCUAGAAUAAACAGCACCCAGCUAGCUCCAGAGACCAUCAGCUGGGUAAGACCUCUCUGACUGCUUCCAAUUCUUCACAUCUUUCAUCUGAUUCACCGCUCUGUUUGUCACGUGCAGCACACUAGGGCCCAAUCUGGUUUUGUCACACCCAUUGCAUUGUACAAAGCAAAGAAUGGGUUACUCUCCUUCCAGGAGAUUUUACAGCUGUAACAGAGACCCUGAAGUAAUGAUGGUGGUUUGAUAGUUUGAUAAAUAAAUCCAAUAUAAUUCAUGCAAAUUACUAAUGCAGGUUAAAUAAAUUAUUCCUUUUUAUUUACCUGUUGAGGUAGAUAUGAGGAAAUCUCACUCAGCGGAAGUUGCAGCAUUCUGUGAUCUCUCUAAGUGAAAUUAAAGGCAUGUCACAUUCCGAUUUGUCUAGUGAGGCAUGCCGCAGUCCAGGUGAAAUGUCACAGCCAAAAAGCCAGCCUGGGAAAUGUCCUUAGUUUAACAGCAAGGCACACCACAUGCCUCUAAAUGAUGCAGGCCUAACUGUGAAAUGGUGCAAUCCAUAUUGAUUGGCUAUAUAGUACUACUGAGCUACAAGCCAUUUGUAAUUAAAAGAGCUUUAAAUAAGGUAGGAAGGGUGUGUGAAGUUUCUAAAAGGUAUAAUAUAUUUUCUGUUCAUGCUAUGUCUGUGGUGGCUUUGGGGCUUGUAAUUUCAGCAAAAGAUUUUGAAUUUGUCACAUAAUUCUAAUCUUGCUAACUCUGCCAAAGUCUCCAGUAAAGAAGUGAAUUGGAAUUAAAACUGGCUGAAAUAUUUCACCAAAACUUUUUUUUUUUGCUCUGAAAAAUGCAGAUUCAGUUCAACUGAAACUUUUUG